CGUAGGGUGCGAGCGUUGUCCGGAAUUAUUGGGCGUAAAGGGCUCGUAGGCUGUUUGUCGCGUCGGGAGUGAAAACAUCCAGCUUAACUGGGUGCUUGCUUUCGAUACGGGCAGACUUGAGGUAUGCAGGGGAGAAUGGAAUUCCUGGUGUAGCGGUGAAAUGCGCAGAUAUCAGGAGGAACACCGGUGGCGAAGGCGGUUCUCUGGGCAUUACCUGACGCUGAGGAGCGAAAGUGUGGGGAGCGAACAGGAUUAGAUACCCUGGUAGUCCACACCGUAAACGUUGGGCGCUAGGUGUGGGACCUAUUCCAUGGGUUCCGUGCCGUAGCUAACGCAUUAAGCGCCCCGCCUGGGGAGUACGGCCGCAAGGCUA
rnacentral:rRNA from 1 species